CACGUACUACAAUGGCUAUAACAAAGGGAAGCGAAACAGUGAUGUGAAGCGAAACUCAAAAAAGUAAGUCUCAGUUCGGAUUGAAGGCUGAAAUUCGCCUUCAUGAAGCCGGAAUUGCUAGUAAUGGCAGGUCAGCAUACUGCCGUGAAUACGUUCCCGGGCCUUGUACACACCGCCCGUCACACCAUGGAAGUUGGGGGCGCCCGAAGUUGGUCGGGAAAUAGAUUACCUAAGGCGAAACCAAUGACUGGGGUGAAGUCGUAACAAGGUAAC
rnacentral:rRNA from 1 species